AAGUGUGAUAUAUUUUGUUUAAUAAUUUUAUUAUGAUUAUGCUUACAAUCUUGGUAAUGCUUACUGUGAGUUAAGAUAUAUAUGAAUGGAAUGAUGAAAUAAUUAUUCCUAGGAUGAAAAUGCUAUAAUGAGUUGGUUUAGUGUGAGGUGUAUUAACGAUAGAGAUUAGGCUGAGAUUAUCUUGACUUUAUUAGUACUUA
rnacentral:lncRNA from 1 species